AUUGAACGCUGGCGGCAUGCUUUACACAUGCAAGUCGAACGGCAGCACAGGGAGCUUGCUCCCGGGUGGCGAGUGGCGCACGGGUGAGUAAUACAUCGGAACGUGUCCUGUUGUGGGGGGAUAACUGCUCGAAAGGGUGGCUAAUACCGCAUGAGACCUGAGGGUGAAAGCGGGGGAUCGCAAGACCUCGCGCAAUUGGAGCGGCCGAUGCCCGAUUAGCUAGUUGGUGAGGUAAAGGUUCACCAAGGCGACGAUCGGUAGCUGGUCUGAGAGGACGACCAGCCACACUGGGACUGAGACACGGCCCAGACUCCUACGGGAGGCAGCAGUGGGGAAUUUUGGACAAUGGGGGCAACCCUGAUCCAGCCAUGCCGCGUGCAGGAUGAAGGCCUUCGGGUUGUAAACUGCUUUUGUCAGGGACGAAAAGGACCGUGUUAAUACCAUGGUCUGCUGACGGUACCUGAAGAAUAAGCACCGGCUAACUACGUG
rnacentral:rRNA from 1 species